UACGUAGGGUGCAAGCGUUAAUCGGAUUACUGGGCGUAAAGCGUGCGCAGGCGGUUUUGUAAGACUGUCGUGAAAUCCCCGGGCUUAACCUGGGAAUGGCGAUGGUGACUGCAAGGCUAGAGUUUGGCAGAGGGGGGUAGAAUUCCACGUGUAGCAGUGAAAUGCGUAGAGAUGUGGAGGAACACCGAUGGCGAAGGCAGCCCCCCGGGUCAAGAUUGACGCUCAUGCACGAAAGCGUGGGGAGCAAACAGG
rnacentral:rRNA from 1 species